ACCCCGGUCGUCCAGCCCGUAGCUAGUCACUGCACUGACUGAGCUAUCCCGGCUCAUAGCCGAUCUAGUGUAGGCGUUAAAAAUUACAACAGUAAGCUUCGUGUCACGGUUGACAACGGCGAGCAACUGACUCACAAGCAGCCACCAAAGUUGCUGCUGGGAUGGCUACACAAGACCCUUCAAUUUCUUACCAUAGCUUUGUGCCGUACAACACAUCUUUCAAGUAACCCCACAAGAAAGUCAGGUGCAGUUAAAUCUGUACCGUAAGUUUCAAAUUUAUCGCAAAUUAUUGUAUUUGUUAGUCAUUUUGGAGGCAUGGUUUCAGAUUUGCAUGUCAACUAUAUUUGCACUUCAAGCACAUUCCCAAAUUUCCAGUACGUCUUCAAAAUUAAGUUGUGUAGUUCGAACCUCAGUUGACCCUCUGGCAAUUUCGAUAUCUGAAUCAUGGGAAAAGGUAUUGGGUGCACCAUCUGUUAAGUGUAGACCACACUAGGUUCUCCUCAUAAAUAAAACACAUGGAGAUUUAUAACAUGGUUAGUGUUCUGUAUUGUAAUGUGUAUUCACCUAUUUUGGGAGACACUAUGCACGUGCAUGCGCACACAUUUACUCACACUGUAACAUUCAAACAUUCCUUCAUUCUAAAAUAAUUAAUAAUAUUUAAUGUUCAAUUUUCUUUAUCAUAAUGCAUAACAAAGACAUUAUAAAUCUCCCUAUUUUUAAAGAAAAGGUUCUUGUUAACGCCAACAUCAACUGCAGAAGAGGACGACUCUUUGUGGACUAUUCCUCUCACUUAUACAGUGCAGGACAGUAACUUUGAUGACACUUCUACCAAACAGUGGAUGAGAGGCUCUUCUCUGAAGAUCAACCGACCAACUGAAGAAAAUAAAUGGUUCAUCUUCAACCCGCAACAAAUAGGGUUCUAUCGAGUGAAUUAUGAUGAUAACAACUGGUAUCUCCUGAUAAACUACCUGGAGAGUGAGGGUUAUGAAAAGAUUGCUGCUGUUAAUAGAGCACAGCUAUUGGAUGAUGUCUUGAACUUGGCCCAAGCUGGUGUUCUAAAAUACAGCACUGCUUUGGAACUGACCCAGUACAUGGAAAAAGAGGCGGAUUAUAUUCCCUGGUACUCGGCUCUCAACGCCUUUUCAUUCCUAAAUCUUCGACUGACAGGCACUGAUAUUUAUCCUCUCUUUCAGAUCAUUUCUCACAAGUCACUGCAUCUAAAAUCUCACCAUGAUCAUAGGAAUACCUCUGGAAAUUGAUUCAGAAUGUGUAUGAGGAGCUAGCGUUUGAAGAAAGUGAUGCUGAUAGUCAUGUGACCCAACUUCACUGCAGCUUGAUCAUUCAGUGGGCAUGCAACUUGGAGCAUGAGCACUGUAUUGAAACAGCCAAACAAAAAUUUAGCACCGUAUAUAAUGGAAUAAUGAACAACUGACCAAAA